GACGAACGCUGGCGGCGUGCCUAAUACAUGCAAGUCGAACGCUUCUUACUUAUCGAACUUCGGUUCACCAAGUAAGAGGAGUGGCGAACGGGUGAGUAACACGUGGGUAACCUGCCCAUCAGAGGGGGAUAACACUUGGAAACAGGUGCUAAUACCGCAUAAUUCAGUUUACCGCAUGGUAGAGUGAUGAAAGGCGCUUUUGCGUCACUGAUGGAUGGACCCGGGGUGCAUUAGCUAGUUGGUAGGGUAAUGGCCUACCAAGGCAACGAUGCAUAGCCGACCUGAGAGGGUGAUCGGCCACACUGGGACUGAGACACGGCCCAGACUCCUACGGGAGGCAGCAGUAGGGAAUCUUCGGCAAUGGACGAAAGUCUGACCGAGCAACGCCGCGUGAGUGAAGAAGGUUUUCGGAUCGUAAAACUCUGUUGUUAGAGAAGAACAAGGAUGAGAGUAAAAUGUUCAUCCCUUGACGGUAUCUAACCAGAAAGCCACGGCUAACUACGUGCCAGCAGCCGCGGUAA
rnacentral:rRNA from 1 species